rnacentral:rRNA from 1 species
AUUGAACGCUGGCGGCAGGCCUAACACAUGCAAGUCGAACGAGCGGCGGACGGGUGAGUAAUGUCUGGGAACCUGCCCGAUGGAGGGGGAUAACUACUGGAAACGGUAGCUAAUACCGCAUACUAUCGGAUUGGCCCAGAUGGGAUUAGCUAGUAGGUGGGGUAACGGCUCACCUAGGCGACGAUCCCUAGCUGGUCUGAGAGGAUGAUCAGCCACACUGGAACUGAGACACGGCCCAGACUCCUACGGGAGGCAGCAGUGGGGAAUAUUGCACAAUGGGCGCAAGCCUGAUGCAGCCAUGCCGCGUGUAUGAAGAAGGCCUUCGGGUUGUAAAGUACUUUCAGCGGGGAGGCGUUACUCGCAGAAGAAGCACCGGCUAACUCCGUGCCAGCCGCCGCGGUAAUUC